AAGAAUUCAAGAGUUCAAAGGUCAAAAUUAUGGCCAUAAAUGAUAAUGGCAUUAUAAUUCUUAAAAAUCGCCAUAAAUUUGAUUCUCCUGUUUUGUGAAGACAGCAUCAUGCUAAAUAGUCUGUGUCAAUGCGGCAUGUGGGGGUAUAUGUCACGUCUGUGACAAAGCUCUAGUUUGUUUUGCACUUUUAAUGGUGAUAUUUUUAACCAGGUUUUCCGAAGGAAAAAACUGGUUAUUAGAUUGGCGAAUGCGGGCGGGCUGGCUGGCUGGCGGGCUGGCUGGCUGGCGGGCUGGCUGGCUGGCUGGCGGGCUGGCGGAAUAAGCUUGUCCGGGCCAUAACUAUUUCGUUCAUUGUCAGAUUUUAAAAUCAUUUGGCACAUUUGUUCACCAUCAUUGGACGGUGUGUCGCGCGAAAUAAUUACGUCGAUAUCUCCAAGGUCAAGGUCACACUUUGAGUUCAAAGGUCAAAAAUGGCCAUAAAUGAGCUUGUCCUGGCCAUAACUAUGUCAUUCAUUGUGAGAUUUUAAAAUCAUUUGGCACAUUUGUUCACCAUCAUGGGACGGUGUGUCCCACGAAAGAUUCACGUCAAUAUCUCCAAUGUCAAGGUCGCCACGACUAAAAAUAGAUUUAAAAAAAAAAAAAAACUUACAAAGGGGGUUAAUUUUUUUUGGUCAUUUCAAAAGUUCAGUUUGAGUUUUCUCCCUUUAUCAGAUU